CUCUUAGCCACCGAACCACCAAGUGUUGGUCGACACAACGGGGACGUAGCGUGCCGGCAAGCACGUGAACCUCGGGAGAAAAAUUGUUUGUCUCCAUUGUGUUUAUGCAUUGGAUUUCUCCCGGUGAUUGGACUUCAUAUUAUUGAUUGGUUCAUCCCCUCUACGCGGCGGUAUAAAAAUCAAACCAUCUCUUUUUACAUUCCCGCAAACUAGAGUAGCUUUCUUACUUGUAUAGAAACUUUAGGUAGCUCUCUAGUGUAAGUAGUGACAUAGCUCUUGUGUGCCUAGAGAUUAUAUCAACUAGAGUUGUUGGAUAGGUGGCUUGCAAACACCCCUUUAGAGCUAGAGCAAAAGCUUCGCUUUGUUAUUUACUAACCUCUUGCUCUAGUGAGUUUGUAGAUUUUUUAAAUAGGCUAUUCACCCCCCCUCUAGCCAUAUUAGGACCUUUCAAAGUCAUCAAAGCGUUUGAGAAGAGCAGCAAGACUUUUAUCCGUACUAGUAAUAGAUGCCUCCAUCUUUGUAAUCUUGUUGUUUGUGGCAAUCUGCGUGUCCUCCAACUGCCCAAGCUUGUCAUUCGUCACCUUCAAGUCGUCAUCAAGUCCCUCUGUGUGUAGCUUCACUUGCCUUUCAAAAUGUUGUAUGAUGCCCUUAGUGCGAGGUGACUGUGGAAUUUUGUUGGUAUCCUCUGUCUCUGACAUGGUUUAAAAAAACACACAGUGGAAACAAGAAAAAUAGGUGAAGAAAUAAAAACCCUACAGCUAUUAGGAUGUGGCUACUGUAAGACGCUCUCUAUCAACCUGUCUAACAAGUUCUUACCAAUUCUUACCUUGCUCAACAGGAGGGAUUGGCUACCAACAAAUCCACAGCAAUGGACGAAGUGUAUCGGUGCUGCAGCAACAAAACCUAUCAAGCUGUAGAAUAUGUGGAGCUAUAGGUGGGCUGAAACAAGGAUCGAACUAGCACCACGUUAGUUAUAAAAAGCAAGUUGAAUAAACGCUCAACGGUGGUACUGUGCUGGUCCUAGCCUAGACCGUGCUAGAGACGCGAGCCUGGACACAAAGGGAAAACACAGCACACCACUAGAAACAAAAUGAGCAGCCCUACUGGAAACAAAAGGAACAACAAUCCCCUUUUUUUUGAUUUUUUUUCUUUUUUUUCUUUCUUUCUUUUUUUUAUUUUUUUCUUUCUCUUUUCUUUUUUUUGGGGAACCUCAAAACCUGAUUAUAUAAACAAAAUAGUACAAAAUAUCACUUCACCACUCUCACCCACUCACUAGAGUAAGGCUGAACCUCAAAAUUCAAUAUAUCUAGUACAAGUAUGAAGUGCUAUCUUUCCUUUUGGAUCACGUUGAUGGAAACGCAGAAUAGACCAACAAGUGGCUGCAGCUAUUAUCAAGAUCUACUCAAAUUCCAACCCACAAUAGAUUGGACGCAGUUGUGACUAGAUGGUGACAAGAACUCAAAACUCUAAAGGACUAAACUAAAACAAGCACUGGACACGACCGAAGCAAACACUCAUUCAACCAGCCCUAACUAAGUAGUACUAGCCACGGCACAAAGGAUUUAUAGGAUUAUGGAAAACAAAUCUGCUAUAUUUUUUGUCUUUUUUUGGACUAUAGGAAAAACAAACACGAAGAAUUGGAAAUCUCUCACCGAUAAACCUUGCUCUGAUUACCAACUGAUGUGAACCCACUAGGGUUUCGCCUGAUCUUUUGAUGAGAGGCGCUGGAUAACUCGAUUAGUGAAUGGAGAUGACGUUCACGGCCCGACUACAGCCCUCAAGACCGCGCCUUAGCAACCGAUACACCGCCUCCAAUGGCUGUCACGAUCUUGUGGAGCGCAACACCCGGCCACUAGGGCACUCGUCCUGCAAGCAAUCGAAGAACCAGCAAGAACAAGUAGAACAAGUACUAAAUUACUAGAUGUAAAUGAAGGUUUCAAACUCAAUCUCUAAUGAAGUGGGGUUUCGAAAACAAGAAGACGGGCGGCUGGAUCAGCACGCGCGUUUACAAGCAAGUAGCGAAGGCUAAACUUUAUCUAAUCAAAACCCAGUUGUUUAUGGCGGCUCUAGAUGUAAAUAAAUAGAGGGGAGGACGACCAAAGGGGUGCUAGAGUCGUCCUCCAACCCUAGGACGCGUCCCUAAUGGACUCAACUUGAUACAUGGGCCAUUGGUCCAAAAUAGGGUGACGCAGCACCAAACAGAAAAAGGUGUCGGCACAAAAACAAGGACUGCGCCCGACUCAUAAGCUGCAUAGAUAUGUGGUUGGACCCAUUGGACAGUAGACUUCAUGAGCUUUCCAACAAGUAUAGGAACGUCCC
rnacentral:lncRNA from 1 species